rnacentral:rRNA from 1 species
UACGGGGGGGGUAAGCGUUGUUCGGAAUUACUGGGCGUAAAGGGCUCGUAGGCGGCCAACUAAGUCGGACGUGAAAUCCCUCAGCUUAACUGGGGAACUGCGUCCGAUACUGGAUGGCUUGGAUUUGGGAGAGGGAUGCGGAAUUCCAGGUGUAGCGGUGAAAUGCGUAGAUAUCUGGAGGAACACCGGUGGCGAAGGCGGCAUCCUGGACCAAUACCGACGUUCAGGCACGAAAGCGUGGGGAGCAAACAGG